GGCCUGAGAGGGCGACCGGCCACACUGGGACUGAGACACGGCCCAGACUCCUACGGGAGGCAGCAGUGGGGAAUAUUGCACAAUGGACGAAAGUCUGACGCAGCAACGCCGCGUGAGGGAUGACGGCCUUCGGGUUGUAAACCUCUUUCACCAGGGACGAAGCGAGAGUGACGGUACCUGCAUAAGAAGGACCGGCUAACUACGUGCCAGCAGCCGCGGUAAUACGUACGGUCCGAGCGUUGUCCGGAAUUAUUGGGCGUAAAGGGCUCGUAGGCGGUUCGUCACGUCGGGAGUGAAAUCUCGGGGCUUAACCCCGAGCCUGCUUCCGAUACCGGCAGACUUGAGGUAGGUAGGGGAGAGCGGAACUCCUGGUGUAGCGGUGAAAUGCGCAGAUAUCAGGAAGAACACCGGUGGCGAAGGCGGCUCUCUGGGCCUUACCUGACGCUGAGGAGCGAAAGCGUGGGUAGGGAACAGGACAAGAUAACAUGGUAGUCCACUCCGUCAACGUUGGGCGCUAGGUGUGGGGGGCGUUACAUGUCCUUUGUGCCGCAGGUAACGCAUUAAGCGAACCGCCUGCGGAGUGCGGCCGCAAGGCUAAAACUCAAAUGAAAUGACGGGGGCCCGCACCACCGGCGCAGCAUGCGGAUUAAUUUGAUUCAACGCGAAGAACAUUACCUGGGUUUGACAUAUAGGGAAAUCCAACAGAGAAGGGGGGUCCGUAAGGGUCCUAUACAGGUGGAGCAUGGCUGUCGUCAGCUAGUGUCGUGAGAUGUUGGGAUAAGGAGGUCAACGAGCGCAACCCUCCUCCUUCGUUUCCAGCACGCCCUUCGGGGUGGUGGGGACUCAUAGGAGACUGCCGGGGUCAAAUAGGAGGAAGGGGGGGAUGACAUCUCAUCAUCAUGCCCCUUAUCACCAGGGCUUCACACAUGCUACAAUGGCCGGUACAAAGGGCUGUGAUA
rnacentral:rRNA from 1 species